rnacentral:rRNA from 1 species
CGGUGAAUACGUUCCCGGACCUUGCACACACCGCCCGUCAAGGCCAUGGAGGCUGGGUGUACCUAAAGUCGGUAACCGGUAAGGAGCCGCCUAGGGUAAACUAGUGACUGGGGCU